rnacentral:rRNA from 1 species
GCAAAGGUAGCAUAAUCAUUUGCCCCCUAAUUAGGGGCUAGAAUGAAUGGAUCAACUUCCUCUUGCUGUCUCAUCAGAACCUAUAAAAAAUCCUAUUUAAGCGAAGAAGCUUAAAUUAAUGAGAAGGACCAAAAGACCCUAUAGAGCUUGACUGAAGAAAAGAAAGUUAAUCAUAUUCUUCUAUUUUGCUGGGGCGGCAUAGAGUAUGACACUCUAAAUUACUUACACUAAAAAGUGUCCCCUCAACCCUUAUUUGAAAACGAAACAGCUACCUUAGGGAUAACAGUCUUAUUUUUCUUAAUAGCCCACAUUAAAAGAAAAGUUUGGCAC